ensembl:snoRNA Gm25821 predicted gene, 25821
UCCCUUUUGAAAGCAUUCAUUCAGUGGCCUUUUGCUCGUGAGCCACUGAGCUGUCCUGAAGGGGCAGAGUGAAAACAUCACUUUUGGGGGGAAGUGGUGACAUGUUGUUUGCUUCAAUCAGUGUUGUGACAAGA